AUUGAACGCUGGCGGCAGGCUUAACACAUGCAAGUCGAGCGGAGAGAGGUAGCUUGCUACUGAUCUUAGCGGCGGACGGGUGAGUAAUGCUUAGGAAUCUGCCUAUUAGUGGGGGACAACAUUUCGAAAGGAAUGCUAAUACCGCAUACGUCCUACGGGAGAAAGCAGGGGAUCUUCGGACCUUGCGCUAAUAGAUGAGCCUAAGUCGGAUUAGCUAGUUGGUGGGGUAAAGGCCUACCAAGGCGACGAUCUGUAGCGGGUCUGAGAGGAUGAUCCGCCACACUGGGACGGAGACACGGCCCAGACUCCUACGGGAGGCAGCAGUGGGGAAUAUUGGACGAUGGGCGGAAGCCUGAUCCAGCCAUGCCGCGUGUGUGAAGAAGGCCUUAUGGUUGUAAAGCACUUUAAGCGAGGAGGAGGCUACUUUAGUUAAUACCUAGAGAUAGUGGACGUUACUCGCAGAAUAAGCACCGGCUAACUCUGUGCCAGCCGCCGCUGAAG
rnacentral:rRNA from 1 species